rnacentral:rRNA from 1 species
AUUGAACGCUGGCGGCGUGCCUAACACAUGCAAGUCGCACGCGAAAGGGAGCAAUCCCGAGUAGAGUGGCGGACGGGUGAGUAACGCGUAGGAAUCUACCUCGUAGUGGGGGACAACCCGGCGAAAGCCAGGCUAAUACCGCAUACGACCUGAGGGUGAAAGCAGGGGAUCGCAAGACCUUGCGCUAUGAGAUGAGCCUGCGUCCGAUUAGCUAGUUGGUGAGGUAACGGCUCACCAAGGCGACGAUCGGUAACUGGUUUGAGAGAACGACCAGUCCCACUGGGACUGAGACACGGCCCAGACUCCUACGGGAGGCAGCAGUGGGGAAUCUUGGACAAUGGGGGCAACCCUGAUCCAGCGACGCCGCGUGUGUGAAGAAGGCCUUCGGGUUGUAAAGCACUUUCGGCAGGGACAAACAAGACGGAGCUAACAUCUCCGUUCCUGAUGGUACCUGAAGAAGAAGCACCGGCUAACUCUGUGCCAGCAGCCGCCGUAAAAC